AUUGAACGCUGGCGGCAGGCCUAACACAUGCAAGUCGAGCGAGCGGCGGACGGGUGAGUAAUGUAUGGGGAACUGCCCGAUAGAGGGGGAUAACUACUGGAAAGAGUGGCUAAUACCGCAUACUAUUGGAGCGGCCCAGAUGGGAUUAGCUAGUGGGUGGGGUAAAGGCUCACCAAGGCGACGAUCCGUAGCUGGUCUGAGAGGACGACCAGCCACACUGGAACUGAGACACGGCCCAGACUCCUACGGGAGGCAGCAGUGGGGAAUAUUGGACAAUGGGGGAAAGCCUGAUGCAGCCAUCCCGCGUGUAUGAUGAAGGCCUUCGGGUUGUAAAGUACUUUUAGCGGGGAGGCGGUACCCGCAGAAUAAGCACCGGCUAACUACGUGCCAGCAGCCGCGGUAAUUC
rnacentral:rRNA from 1 species